GGGUGCGAGGCGCGGUCGGUCGGCCGCGCACCACGCGCCACCCGUCGCAUCGCCGCGCUGUUGCGAUCCCGUCGCUCACCCAGGCCUCGCACGCCGGCG
rnacentral:misc_RNA from 1 species